rnacentral:rRNA from 1 species
UGGGGAAUAUUGGACAAUGGAGGGAACUCUGAUCCAGCAAUUCUGUGUGUGUGGAGAAGGUUUUAGGACUGUAAAACACUUUUAGUAGGGAAGAAAAAAAUGACGGUACCUACAGAAGAAGCAACGGCUAAAUACGUGCCAGCAGCCGCGGUAAUACGUAUGUUGCGAGCGUUAUCCGGAAUUAUUGGGCUUAAAGGGCAUCUAGGCGGUAAGACAAGUUGAAGGUGAAAACCUGUGGCUCAACCAUAGGCUUGCCUACAAAACUGUUGAACUAGAGUACUGGAAAGGUGGGUGGAACUACGCGAGUAGAGGUGAAAUUCGUAGAUAUGUGUAGGAAUGCCGAUGAUGAAGAUAGCUCACUGGACAGAAACUGACGCUGAAGUGCGAAAGCUAGGGGAGCAAACAGG